rnacentral:rRNA from 1 species
UAGGGAAUCUUCGGCAAUGGGGGGAACCCUGACCGAGCAACGCCGCGUGAGUGAAGAAGGUUUUCGGAUCGUAAAGCUCUGUUGUUAAGGAAGAACGAGUGUGAGAAUGGAAAGUUCAUACUGUGACGGUACUUAACCAGAAAGGGACGGCUAACUACGUGCCAGCAGCCGCGGUAAUACGUAGGUGGCAAGCGUUGUCCGGAUUUAUUGGGCGUAAAGCGAGCGCAGGCGGUCAAUUAAGUCUGAUGUGAAAGCCCCCGGCUCAACCGGGGAGGGUCAUUGGAAACUGGUUGACUUGAGUGCAGAAGAGGAGAGUGGAAUUCCAUGUGUAGCGGUGAGAUGCGAAAAUAUAUGGAGGAACACCAGUGGCGAAGGCGACUCUCUGGUCUGUAACUGACGCUGAGGUUCGAAAGCGUGGGUAGCAAACAGG